rnacentral:lncRNA from 1 species
AUUGAACUCCAUCUUCUGACACCAUGUGCUACUACCACAACUAUUAUGGUAGCCUGGACUAUGGUUGCAGCUAUGGCUCUGAAUAUGGUAACUCUGGAUAUGCCUGCAACUUUCCGUGCUCCUAUGGAAGAUUCCUAUUGGCUCCUAGAAAGAAAUUCUGAUUGCUGAUCACUUUGAGCCAUUUUCUUGUGAUGCACUAAUUGCAUCAACAGGGUUAUUUAUGGAUUCGUUAUUGUCUCUCCAAUUUUAACUAACUCUAAUUAUUGAUUACCACAGGUCAUAUUUGCAUUGGA